rnacentral:rRNA from 1 species
GAUGAACGCUGGCGGCGUGCCUAAUACAUGCAAGUCGAGCGAACAGACGAGGAGCCUGCUCCUCUGACGUUAGCGGCGGACGGGUGAGUAACACGUGGAUAACCUACCUAUAAGACUGGGAUAACUUCGGGAAACCGGAGCUAAUACCGGAUAAUAUAUUGAACCGCAUGGUUCAAUAGUGAAAGACGGUUUUGCUGUCACUUAUAGAUGGAUCCGCGCCGCAUUAGCUAGUUGGUAAGGUAACGGCUUACCAAGGCAACGAUGCGUAGCCGACCUGAGAGGGUGAUCGGCCACACUGGAACUGAGACACGGUCCAGACUCCUACGGGAGGCAGCAGUAGGGAAUCUUCCGCAAUGGGCGAAAGCUUGGCGGAGCAACGCCGCGUGAGUGAUGAAGGUCUUCGGAUCGUAAAACUCUGUUAUUAGGGAAGAACAAAUGUGUAAGUAACUAUGCACGUCUUGACGGUACCUAAUCAGAAAGCCACGGCUAACUACGUG